UCGAGAAUUUUUGACAAUGGGGGAAACCCUGAUCGAGCGACGCCGCGUGGAGGAUGAAGGUCUUCGGAUUGUAAACUCCUGUCAUUGGGGAACAAUGCACAGAUAUUAACUGUAUUUGUGUUGAUAGUACCCGAAGAGGAAGGGACGGCUAACUCUGUGCCAGCAGCCGCGGUAAUACAGAGGUCCCAAGCGUUGUUCGGAUUCAUUGGGCGUAAAGGGUGUGUAGGUGGCGCGCUAAGUCGGGUGUGAAAUUUCGGAGCUUAACUCCGAAACUGCAUUCGAUACUGGCGUGCUUGAGGACUGGAGAGGAGACUGGAAUUUACGGUGUAGCAGUGAAAUGCGUAGAUAUCGUAAGGAAGACCAGUGGCGAAGGCGGGUCUCUGGACAGUUCCUGACACUGAGACACGAAGGCCAGGGGAGCAAACGGGAUUAGAUACCCCCGUAGUCC
rnacentral:rRNA from 1 species